AUUGAACGCUGGCGGCAUGCUUUACACAUGCAAGUCGAACGGCAGCGCGGGGCAACCUGGCGGCGAGUGGCGAACGGGUGAGUAAUAUAUCGGAACGUACCCAGAAGUGGGGGAUAACGUAGCGAAAGUUACGCUAAUACCGCAUACGAUCUACGGAUGAAAGUAGGGGACCGCAAGGCCUUAUGCUUUUGGAGCGGCCGAUAUCUGAUUAGCUAGUUGGUGAGGUAAAGGCUCACCAAGGCGACGAUCAGUAGCUGGUCUGAGAGGACGACCAGCCACACUGGAACUGAGACACGGUCCAGACUCCUACGGGAGGCAGCAGUGGGGAAUUUUGGACAAUGGGCGCAAGCCUGAUCCAGCAAUGCCGCGUGAGUGAAGAAGGCCUUCGGGUUGUAAAGCUCUUUUGUCAGGGAAGAAACGGUAGAGGCUAAUAUCCUUUGCUAAUGACGGUACCUGAAGAAUAGGCACCGGCUAACUACGUG
rnacentral:rRNA from 1 species